rnacentral:rRNA from 1 species
GACGAACGCUGGCGGCGUGCUUAACACAUGCAAGUCGAACGGAAAGGCCUCUUUCGGGGGGUACUCGAGUGGCGAACGGGUGAGUAACACGUGAGUAACCUGCCCUUGACUUUGGGAUAACUUCAGGAAACUGGGGCUAAUACCGGAUAGGAGCUCCUGCUGCAUGGUGGGGGUUGGAAAGUUUCGGCGGUUGGGGAUGGACUCGCGGCUUAUCAGCUUGUUGGUGGGGUAGUGGCUUACCAAGGCUUUGACGGGUAGCCGGCCUGAGAGGGUGACCGGCCACAUUGGGACUGAGAUACGGCCCAGACUCCUACGGGAGGCAGCAGUGGGGAAUAUUGCACAAUGGGUGGAAGCCUGAUGCAGCAACGCCGUGUGCGGGAGGACGGCCUUCGGGUUGUAAACCGCUUUCGCUCAUGACGAAGCUUUGUGUGACGGUAGUGGGUAAAGAAGCACCGGCUAGCUACGUG